rnacentral:rRNA from 1 species
GGGAAUUUUCUGCAAUGGGCGAAAGCCUGACAGAGCAAUACCGCGUGAGGGAUGACAGUCCUAUGGAUUGUAAACCUCUUUUUUCAGGGAGGAAGUUCUGACGUUACCUGAAGAAUAAGCAUCGGCUAACUCCGUGCCAGCAGCCGCGGUAAGACGGAGGAUGCAAGUGUUAUCCGGAAUCACUGGGCGUAAAGCGUCUGUAGGUUGUUCAAUAAGUCAACUGUUAAAUCUUGAGGCUCAACUUCAAAAUCGCAGUCGAAACUGUUUGACUAGAGUAUAGUAGGGGUAAAGGGAAUUUCCAGUGGAGCGGUGAAAUGCGUAGAUAUUGGAAAGAACACCGAUGGCGAAGGCACUUUACUGGGCUAUUACUGACACUCAGAGACGAAAGCU